rnacentral:rRNA from 1 species
GAUGAACGCUGGCGGCAUGUCUAAGGCAUGCAAGUCGAACGCUUCAGAAACCUUCGGGUUUCAACGAAGAGUGGCAGACGGGUGAGUAACACAUUGGUAACCUGCCCCAAAGUCUGGAAUAACUUCUCGAAAGAGAAGCUAAUACCGGAUGUGAUCUUGCUUCUUAUGUAGCAAGAGGAAAGGAUUUAUCCGCUUUGGGAGGGGCUUAUGGCCUAUCAGCUUGUUGGUAGUGUAAAGGACUACCAAGGCUACGACGGGUAGCAGGCGUGAGAGCGCGACCUGCCUCAAUGGGACUGAGACACUGCCCAU